CAGCCGCCGCGGGAAUACAGAGGGUGCGAGCGUUAAUCGGAUUUACUGGGCGUAAAGCGUGCGUAGGCGGCUUUUUAAGUCGGAUGUGAAAUCCCUGAGCUUAACUUAGGAAUUGCAUUCGAUACUGGAAAGCUAGAGUAUGGGAGAGGAUGGUAGAAUUCCAGGUGUAGCGGUGAAAUGCGUAGAGAUCUGGAGGAAUACCGAUGGCGAAGGCAGCCAUCUGGCCUAAUACUGACGCUGAGGUACGAAAGCAUGGGGAGCAAACAGGAUUAGAUACCCCAGUAGUCCCUGUCUCUUAUAC
rnacentral:rRNA from 1 species